CACUAGUUUAUUUAAACAUACACAAGCGUUUUCAAUGCAUAUAGCGUCCUCUUCAGGUGUACAGAACAUAAAAAGAGGUAAACAACAUGGAUAUAGUAAACCCUUCUUGAACAAGGUAUUAGAACGAGUAAGAGAAACUAUGGUGCAAAUGAGAUCUGUAGAAGAAGACGUAACGGAGGAAGAAACCAAGCGCAUACCAGUUCCGUACCAUCUAAGAAGCCUUAAAGUUAUUAAGAAAAUGUUCAAACAAAAUAAGAAGAAGAUGGCAGUCAAGAGGAAUCCAAUGGUAUAUAAUGUUUUGAGAAAUGAGAAAAACCC
rnacentral:lncRNA from 1 species